AUCAUGGCUCAGAUUGAACGCUGGCGGCAGGCCUAACACAUGCAAGUCGAACGGUAACAGGAAGAAGCUUGCUCUUGCUGACGAGUGGCGGACGGGUGAGUAAUGUCUGGGAAACUGCCUGAUGGAGGGGGAUAACUACUGGAAACGGUAGCUAAUACCGCAUAACGUCGCAAGACCAAAGAGGGGGACCUUCGGGCCUCUUGCCAUCGGAUGUGCCCAGAUGGGAUUAGCUUGUUGGUGGGGUAACGGCUCACCAAGGCGACGAUCCCUAGCUGGUCUGAGAGGAUGACCAGCCACACUGGAACUGAGACACGGUCCAGACUCCUACGGGAGGCAGCAGUGGGGAAUAUUACACAAUGGGCGCAAGCCUGAUGCAGCCAUGCCGCGUGUAUGAAGAAGGCCUUCGGGUUGUAAAGUACUUUCAGCGGGGAGGAAGGGAGUAAAGUUAAUACCUUUGCUCAUUGACGUUACCCGCAGAAGAAGCACCGGCUAACUCCGUGCCAGCAGCUGC
rnacentral:rRNA from 1 species